AAACUAUAUUCUUGCAUUGGUGACCGUUAGACCGGUGAGGGCAGGUUCAUAUACACUGGAGUAGUUUCUCUAAAGGAAAAUACAAAACGUUGAACCGGCGGUUCGAACCGCCGGUUCGAAACAGAUUGGGCAAGUACAGUACAAUUGGAAACAAGUCUUCUCUUUUCCGCGUGAUCCCUUCCCCUUCCUCUUUACACUCUCCCUUCACUCUCUGAUCGUUCUCCGACACGACCUCUCUUCUCGCCCUUCUCCUCCGCCGACUUCACACGAGCGAUUCAGUCCAAGAUUCCGAAAAAAUUUGAAGUUAAAUAGCAUCGUGGAUCUUUGAAAAUCGGUGUUGGAUUGGACAUGGGUGAUAGGGAUUUGGUAGUUACUCAAAUUAGUGUUGGUGGGCUGGAAAAUCAUGUCACGGCCAAGAUUCUUUCGGACUAUUUUGAAGAUAAUAUUGGAUUGGUAUGGCGGUGCCGAUUGAAGACUUCGUCAACGCCUCCAGAAUCAUACCCAAAUUAUGAGACUGAUCCGGAGAUUCUGCAGAGAAAGAAUGAUUACGUGAAGGUUGAACCCCAUGCAUUUGUUCAUUUUGCAGUUGCAAGUUCGGCAAAAUUAGCAGUAGAUGCUGCAGGUCAUGGUAGACUUAUAUUGGGAAGAAAGCCAUUGAAGGUUAGCUUGGGGCCACAAAAUCCUCACAGGAUGAAUGAGUGGAGAAGAACUACAGCACCUUAUAAGUUCUCAGAUGUCCUCGUAGAGAUUGGAGUUUUGAGGAGUCAAAAAGAGUUUUUGGUUGGUUGGAGGGGGGCUCAUAGCGGGGUUGAUUUUCUUGUUGAUCGAUUUAAUGGAACAUGCAAACUACAUUUUACAAAGGAUACUGCUUUCACCUUUAAAAGUGGAGCAAGACCAGCUGUAAUAAAGUGUGAUUUCAAGUUGGAGUUCUUGCCAAGAGAAAUAAUUGGAAUUAAACAUUACAAAAGCUAUUCAUCUUUGAUAGUACUAUUGCAGCUGGCUUCUUCACCAUUGAUUUACUAUAGAACUGCAGAUGAUGAUAUUGAUGUAUCCGUGCCUUUUGAUUUGUUGGAUGAUGAUGAUCCAUGGAUACGAACAACUGAUUUCACACCCAGUGGGGCAAUUGGUAGGUGCAACACUUAUCGAAUUUCAAUUAGACCUCGGAAUGGUUCACAUCUCUUGAAGGCCUUGGAUUAUCUUCGAGAAAGGAGGGUACCAGUUGUUGAUGAAGGUUCUGGAAUGAAGCUUCAGGUGGAGGAUGAGCCUGAUUUUGGGUUGCCCAUGCCGGAUCCCUUUUUCUGUAUACAGUACAAGGCUGACAUAUCCUUUGAGAUUCUAUUUUUGGUGAAUGCUCUCGUGCACAAGGGGAUAAUCAAUCAGCAUCAGUUGUCUGAAGAGUUUUAUGAUGUGUUGAGGAAUCAAGCUGAGGAACUCAAUGCAGUUGUGCUUAAGCACAUGUGUUCCUAUAAGCGUCCUGCUUAUGAUGCUCUCAAAACCUUGGAUCUCCUAAAAACGUGGCUUUUAAACAAUCCUAAGAUCCUUGAGAGAUCUCGGGAGAUGAAUGAUAUUGCUGAGGUUCGAAGAUUGAUCAUAACUCCAUCAAAAGCAUACUGCCUUCCGCCUGAGGUGGAACUUUCCAAUAGGGUUCUAAGAAAUUACAAACACAUGGCUGAUCGGUUCCUAAGAGUCACUUUCAUGGAUGAAGCUAUGCAGACCCUAAAUAAAAAUGUUCUUGAAUAUUAUCCUAGUCCCAUUGUGAGGGACAUUACCAGAAACACAGCUCCCCAAAAGACCACUAUGUUCAAGCGGGUAAAGGACAUAUUAGUUAAUGGAUUUUAUUUGUGUGGUCGGAGGUAUUCUUUUCUAGCAUUUUCAGCAAAUCAACUCCGGGACCGCUCAGCUUGGUUUUUUGCUGAAAACAAGAACACUGGGGUGGCCAACAUCAAGAGCUGGAUGGGAAAGUUUACACAACGGAAUGUUGCAAAGUGUGCUGCCAGGAUGGGCCAAUGCUUUUCUUCUACUUAUGCUACGAUUGAAGUACCAUGCAAAAAAGUCAAUUCUAUGCUGGGUGAUGUUGAGAGAAAUGGCUAUGUUUUCUCUGACGGUAUUGGUAUGAUAUCAGACAAUCUGGCAUCAGAAGUUGCUGAGAAACUGCAGUUGGGCACUAAGUCUCCAUGUGCUUACCAAAUAAGAUAUGCAGGCUACAAAGGUGUGGUUGCACGUUGGCCACAGAAAAAUGAUGCAUUCCACUUAUUCCUAAGACCGAGUAUGAAGAAGUUUGAUUCAGAUCACACAAUGCUUGAGAUUUGUUCUUGGACUCGGUUCCAGCCGGGUUUUCUAAAUCGACAGAUAAUUACACUACUCUCAGCUUUGGAAGUUCCGGAUGAUAUUUUCUCAAGGAUGCAAGAUACUAUGGUUAUGAGACUUGAUGAGAUGCUUGAGGACACAGAUAUUGCCUUUGAUGUUGUUACUGCUUCAUGUACUGAUCAAGGGGAUACAGCAGCAAUAAUGUUAAGUGCUGGUUUCAGUCCUCGGGUUGAGCCUCAUUUGCGGGGGAUGCUGACAAGCAUCAGAGUUGCUCAGCUUGGAGACCUCAGAGAAAGAGCUAGAAUAUUUGUUCCCUCAGGAAGGUGGCUGAUGGGAUGCUUGGACGAGGCUGCUGUACUUGAACAAGGCCAAUGCUUCAUCCAGGUUUCGAACCCUUGUUUGGAAGAUUGUUUUGUGAAGCAUGGAUCACAGUUUUCUGAGACAAAGAAAAACCUUCAAGUUGUCAAAGGCCUUGUAGCAAUUGCUAAGAACCCUUGUCUUCACCCUGGCGACGUUCGGAUUUUGGAGGCAAUUGAUGUCCCACAGCUGCAUCAUCUCUAUGAUUGUCUUGUGUUUCCUCAGAAGGGUGAUAGACCCCAUACGAAUGAAGCUUCUGGGAGUGACCUUGAUGGUGAUCUCUAUUUUGUUACUUGGGAUGACAAUCUCAUUCCCCCUAGCAAGAGAAGUUGGCCUCCCAUGGAAUAUGCACCUGGAGAAGUCAAACAGCUCUCGCGUGAAGUUCGACACUCGGAUAUAAUUGAGUUUUUCACAAAGAACAUGGUGAAUGAAAGUCUGGGUGCUAUCUGCAAUGCUCAUGUUGUUCAUGCCGACCUUAGUGAGUAUGGAGCGUUGGAUGAGAAAUGCAUCAAACUGGCAGAGCUUGCAGCCACAGCUGUUGAUUUCCCCAAGACUGGAAAAGUUGUAACCAUGCCUGGCGAACUCAAGCCUAAGAGUUACCCAGAUUUUAUGGGUAAAGAAGAGUUCCAGACAUACAAGUCGGGUAAAAUUCUUGGUAAGCUUUACCGGAAAAUUAGGGACUUGUAUGGAAGAGACUGCUGCGAAGCCGAGGAUACGAUACAUGAAAGGGACACCGUUGUGUAUGAUGAAGAACUUGAGAUUGCUGGGGCUGAAAACUUUAUAACCGAUGCAUGGAAUUGCAAGCUAUCGUAUGAUGGACAGUUAAUUGGUCUUUUAGGCCAAUAUAAGGUGCAUGGUGAGGCGGAAGUUGUUACUGGGCAUAUAUGGUCAAUGCCCAAAUAUAGUGGCAAGAAAAGGGGGGAGUUGAAGGAGAGAUUGAAGCAUGCAUAUAGCACCCUGAGAAAGGAGUUCAGGAAAGUAUUUGAGCGGAUGGGCCCUGAAUUCGAUGAGCUCUCAGAUGAUGAAAAAAAUGUGAUGUAUGAGAGGAAGGCGUCUGCCUGGUACCAGGUGACCUAUCAUGAGAUGUGGGUGAAGAAGUCGAAGCAGGUGCUGAUGGUAGAAGGUGGUGGGUCGGUGAUGUUGAGCUUUGCUUGGAUUGCUGCUGAUUAUCUGGCUCGGAUUAAAAUCAAGCACAAGAGGAUGGAAAACUCGAAGAAGAAGAAGAGUUUGUGGGUGUCGGACAAGCCUGUGGAUGCUCUGGCAAGGUAUCUGGCAGAUAAAAUCUGAGAUGAGGUGAGAUCCUUUUUCUUUUUUUUGUAAUCUGAGAUGAGAUGAAGAAAUCGCAGUCAUGUGCAUUCGGGUUGUUUUUGUUUGAGGUGGGGAUUGAUUAUUGAGUGAAAUUUGCAGUUAUUUUGAGCUUUGGUUUAUGUUGGAAGUUAAUGAAUAGUACAAUGUCGAGAAUUGGUUAUUUGAUGCUCUGAUGUAGUUGAUGAUAUGAAGAAAUCGCAGUCGUGUGCAUUCUGGUUGUCUUUGUUUGAGUUGACGAUAUGAAGAAAUUGCAGUCGUGUGCAUUCAGGUUGCCUUUGUUUGAGGAAUAUGGCUCUCAUUAGCGGAGGAGGAGAUCAUCCCUGACCCUGGUUUUUCUGGUUCUACAAUAUAUUUGUAUCAGUCGGGAAACUUACUUUUGAACUUCACCAAUUCAUAACCAUAAUAGAAUGUA